rnacentral:rRNA from 1 species
UACGUAGGGUGCGAGCGUUAAUCGGAAUUACUGGGCGUAAAGCGUGCGUAGGCGGUUCGUUGUGUCUGUGGUGAAAGCCCCGGGCUUAACCUGGGAAUGGCCAUGGAAACUGGCGAGCUGGAGUGUGGCAGAGGGGGGUGGAAUUCCGCGUGUAGCAGUGAAAUGCGCAGAUAUCAGGAGGAACACCAAUGGCGAAGGCAGCACUCUGGGACGUGACUGACGCUGAGACGCGAAAGCGUGGGGAGCAAACAGG